rnacentral:pre_miRNA from 1 species
CAAACCGUGCUGGAGAAGCAGGGCACGUGCUCGACGUCAUCGACGGGUCUUGCUGACGAUUGACUUGCAGCAUGUGCGCUCCUUCUCCAGCAUGGAUUC